UGGUAUUUGGUAUGGCCGAAUCGAUGGCAGUUAUGACAUAAUCUUAAGGAAGGAACAAAAGCAUGGACCUCAUAGCGGACACUGAAAAGAAAUACGUGGGAAGAAGCUGAGGAACCUGAAGUUAUGUCCUCUGGUGUGAGGUCAGUGGGAAUAUUGCGAAUGACACCUUGCUUCAUUAUUUGAUUUGAAGUAGUUUCCAGCAGACUGGAACCAACCAAGCUGUGAAUGUUACGCCCUACUGUGAGAGGAUGCAAAUUGAUACCUGGUUUAUCACCAUGGUUGGCAGCAUGAGGUUGAACAGUUAAGAUGAAUGGGCCUCGGUGUUCUUUGCUGUAUCUAUUCUUCAAAACCUGGGCGAGUCGCUGAGAGGAGUCAUUACCUUUAUCGUCUGAAAUUGCAUCACUGCCUCUUUUAAGGGAAGCAGUUCUGCCACCACGAGUUACUGGAGUAAAGUCGGAGGGACAGGAUGCAGAAGUGACAGGAGUUGAGGCUGCCAAAGGGAAAGCUUCCUUUCUGAGCGAAGAUAGUGCCUGAGCGAGGUCACUACCAACGUCAACCGGCGUAGGAGGGCCAGGCUCUAGCUCCAUAUCAACAGAGGACGGAUCUGGUUGACAGGGCGGUGUACCGCUGCCGCACGCGGCAGGGGUGCACAUGGUGAGUAAUUUGAGGCGAGAUUAAUAGGCAGGUGU